UGCAUCAACAUUCAAGUUCUGCUACUAUCUGGAGAUAGAGCCUUGCCCCUUGGACCACAGUUGUAAUUAACCUAGUGUGUCAACCAUGGGGAAACACUUUCCUAUAUGAUAGGGUUUUUUGUUUGUUUGUUUUUGUUUGUUUUUAGAGAACCCUUCAGUGGCAGUCUCAGUUUCCUGCCACGCCCCUCCCGCGCCCCUCCCCCGCCCCCUUAUUUUAGAUGGAGCCUUUAGUGGAUAGAAUAAAGGUUCCUUUGAUCUCAGUGCACAGUGCCCAUUUCCCUGUUAAUGUGCUUAUUUCUUUUACAGUUAUCUUAAUAUUCUAUUGCUGUGAAGAGAUACCACACCAAGGUAACUCUUACAAAGGAAGCAUCUAAGGGCUUGCUUACAGUUUCAGAGAGUUAGUUCCUUCUCACCGUGGUGGAGUGUGUGGAGACGUGGUGCUAGGAGCAGGAGCUGGGAACCCACCUUGCCUCUGACACCCGCUGAGCCAAGCUGCCACUGUUACAUUCUUCCUGCGGCAGUACGGCUUAGAUAAUUCUGGAGGAUACAAACAACAGCAGCUGCGACACAUGGAGCUAGAAGUAACGAGGGGACGAAUGCAUCCAUCUGAGUUCCACAGCAGAAAAGCUGACAUGUUGGAAUCAAUCGCUGUUGGUAUUGAUGAUGGAAAAACAAAAACUUCUGGAAUUAUUGAAGCCCUCCACAGGUAUUAUCAGAACAUUGCCACAGAUGUAAGGUGUGUGUGGCUGUCUACAG
rnacentral:lncRNA from 1 species